UGUAAUGGUUCCCUAGUACCAUCAAUCUGGCCUAAUGCCUUUCGAAUGUCCUUUGUUAGAAGGAAACCGCCAAUUUCCAAUGCUACUAACAAUUGUCAUAGCUCUGUCCCUUCACCUAUCACGUCUUUUGAGCCUGAGGGAGUGCCUCGAAAUACUGCAUUCACUGCCAUUUUAAAUGCUAUGGAUGCAAAUAUGGAGGAUCCAAUGCCAGAUAUGGAUCCGACCCAUAAUACCUCUUCAGCUUCUAUGAUGUUGCCACAUGUGAUGCCUUUACUAACAAAUGGUCCUGAUACACCUAUGGACCUUGAAAGCUCUAUGCCCCCUUCUCACCCAGCCAACCAUUCCAAUUCAUCUUCCACCCCUUCAAGCACUCUGCAACCUAACCCAGAUGGUCCUCUCGAGGCCCAAGAGUUUGCUGCUCGUGUUAUAUCAAGAUUAGAGUCUCUGCAUGACUCUACUGCUCAACCUAUACAAGUGGAGAUAGAUGUUGACUCUGAUCUUCUACAUGAUUUCGUUGACCAACGAGCCUGCACUAAUCCUUUCAUAGGAGACUCAUGCGUCGGAUGAACAAUCUCAAAGGCUAAUCCAAAGCUUUGGGAAGGACUUGCGCAGGAUCUCUUAACCCACUACCGGUGCUUCGGGUGGAAUCUGACUUGCUUGGUUCUCUCUUGUUGCUUAUGUCCAGGUGCUUUCUCUCCAAUCACAGCUAAUACAUAAUGUAGUUCAAUUUCAAAAUAGCAACCCGUGGCUUUUAACUGGUCUUUAUGCUAGUACUUCUGUCCUUUUACACAAUAAUUCAUGGACAAAUCUUUCUGCAUUAAAUUUCUCUGAAAUACCUUAGUGCGUCUUAGGGGAUUUUAAUUCUAUUCUACAUAGUUCUGAUAAAUCUGGUGGACGUGCUUUUAACACCAACCUUUCUAUUCAGGGUUUUUGUGAUUUUGUGAAAAAUUAUGGUUUAACAGAUUUAGGCGUUUUUGGCCCCAAAUAGACUUGGUGUAAUAAUCGCAAGGGUCAUGCUCGGAUUUUUGUGUGUUUUGAUAAGGUUUUUGGUAACUCUUCUUGGCUUCAACUCUUUGGUCAAUCUUCUAUCUUCAAUCUCCCUUAGGCUUGUUCUAAUCAUGCACCACUUAAGGUGCAUAUUCAGCUUUCAGAUUCUUCUGGUACAAAACUCUUCCGUUUUCAAAAUUUUGGCCGGAAUAUCAAGAAACUAGCAAUAUUGUCCAAUUUAAUUGGAAUACAAUCCAUAAUUCAAACUCCCCUUUUGACUCUUUUCAUCAAAAUCUUUGUAAGAUGAGAAGGGUUUUCUCUCACUGAAAUUGGUAUUCUGUUGGUAAAUUAAAACAUAAUUUGGAUCUCCUAAAGGACUCAAUUAUUGCUUUAGAAUCCCAGUUUGAAGAUAGUAACCCUACCGAUUCUCAGGUUCAGCACCUUGCUUCCCUUCAUAAUUAUCAAUUAGCUUUGAUUAAACAAGUUAACCUUAAACAGUGGGCUAAAGUCAAAUGCUCUUGGGUUAAUGAUGGUGAUAGGAAUGUCAAAUACUUUCACAAUUUAAUAACUCAUCAUCAUCACAAAAACUUUGUUAAAGGUAUUAUGGACCCUUCUAUAGGUUGAAUUCAUGAUACCAAUCAGAGAGUGUCUAUAUUUUGUAAUCACUAUACCAAACUCUGAAGCACCUCUCAUUUUAUUCAACCUAAUACUUUUAUGCCUAGUCUUCCCAGCUUAUCUUCUGUUGAGAGUUCAUCUUUAAUUAAACCAUUCUCUCUCAAAGAGAUUCACUCUUCUGUUCAUUCUUUAGGUCUUGGCAAAAGUCCAAGACAUGUUGGUUUUACAUGUGAAUUCUAUAGGGGGCUUACUGGGAUACUUUAGCACCUUCCUUCCUUAAUAUUUUUAAUUGAUUUUAUCAGUAUGUGCAUGUUCCUAUCAGUUGGACCAAAACAUUUCUUACAUUUAUCCCAAAAAUUAAGAAUCCAACUGAUGUUACUCAUUACAGGCAGAUUGCAUUAUCUAAUGUCAAUUAUAGAAUUUUUGCAAGGGUUAUAUCCAAUCAAUUAAAGCCUCUUUUAUCUAACAUUAUCAGCUAUAAUCAAUCUAUUUUCCUCCCAAAUCGAAGUAUUCACAGUAACAUUUUAAUUGCACAAGAAGCUGCUCAUACUAUGUUCUCUUCUGGGGGGAAAAAUCCUCUGGUUUUAGUUAAGCUUGAUUUAAAAAAAGGCAUUUGAUCGAUUAUCUUGGGAUUCCAUUUUUAAGGUUCUCAAUGCUAUGAACUUUCCUUCUAAAAUUUAUUAAUUGGAUUAAUGCUUGCAUCUCUUCCUCCUCUACUACGUAUCUAAUAAAUAGACAUAUGUCCAACUCUUUCACUAGUAGAUGUGGGGUAAGACAAGGAGAUCCCUUAUCUCCGUAUCUUUAUAUCCUAGUAGCUCAGAUCCUUGCUCAAUUAUUCUCUCAAGCAGUUGAAUCUACUAAGCUUACACCACUUAGAGUUAAUUCCUUUGUAAAGUCAGCCAUAUCAUAUAUGCUGAUGACAUUCUCUUAUGCUUUAGAGAUAACCAAAAAUCCUGCUUAACUUUAAAUCUAUCUUUGACAAAUACAAUUUUUUAACUAACCAACAUGUUACUCUUUCCAAAUCUGCAAUUUAUUUUCCUAAAUCCACUCCUAGAAACACUAGAGCUAACAUCUGCUCUUAGUUUCAAAGAGGAUCAAUUUCCUUUCAAAUAUCUUGAUGCAUCUAUUUCUCUUCUUAAGCUUAAAUCAAAGCUUGCAUCUUGGUAAUGUAAUUAUCUCUCCCAAGCUGGCCAUCUGGUGCUUAUUAAAUCUGUCCUCAACUCUAUCCCAAUCCAUACACUUAGUGUCAAUUGGUUUCUUGAGUCUACUCUUCACAAGGUUGAAACUUUGAUUAAAAACUUCCUUUGGCAGAAGAAUCUAGACACCAAAGGAAUUCACUUAGUAAAUUGGGACAUUGUCACUACUGAUAAGAAUAUGGAUGGUUUAUCUGUUCAAGAUUGAUCUCUUUUUAAGCAUACUCUUCAAGUUACUCCUAUUCAACGUUAUCUCAAUAAAGAUGAUAGUCUUUGGUGUACUGUUACUCAUGCCAAAUAUGGAUCAUUUAAUCCCUGGUUUCCUUUGGAAUCUAGGCACAUCAGCUAGAGCUAGCAUCUCUUUAUGAAUGCUCUUUUACAUCUUCAAUUGGGUUUUAUCAAAAUUAUUAGAAAUGGGUUUCAAACAGAUAUUCUUCAGGAUCCUUGGCCUUUUUAUUUGCCUUUGAAUCUUAAACCUACGUACAUAAACCCUUCUUCCAUCCUUGACGGUACGGGUGCAUCUGUUGCUGCUAUUAUCCGAUCCGGUAGCUGGGAUUCUCAGUUGUUAUUGGAUAUGUUCGUUAAUAGUUUAAUUUGUCACAUUAAUUCCAUAGAAGUUGCUCAUUCCCCUUGUGAUGAUAAAUGGUUUUAGAAGGCAAAUCAAACAGUUAAGACUACUGCUAGGGGAGCUUAUAAUUUCCUGAGACAGCAGAUCUGUGCCCCUCAUAAUUCCAAUUGGUACGGCUGGCAGAACAUGUGGAGAACUCCUGUUAUACCUAAAAUACAGUUUUUUUGUUGGAAGCUUCUACACAAAAGAUUAACUACCACUGAUAGACUUCGAAGAUUGAAUUUGAGAUCACAGCAGCCUUGUCCCCUAUGUAACAUUUUCCCUUAAAACCAUUGAUCAUAUUUUCUUUGAAUGCCCUUUUUCAAUCAAACUAUGGGAUUGUUGGGGACACAAUUUACCUGACUCCUUCCAAUCAAAAGACUCUUGGGCUUUAGGCGACUGGCUCCCUGAAGGCUAUGAUCAGAGUUGGGAAACUUUUCCAAGCUAGUAUUGAAAAUCAAUUAUGUUUUAUCUGGAAGGCGUGGAAUUCUACCUUAUUUAAAGGAAAACUCCCCUCUAUUACUUGAACUACGUCUCAAGCUUUAUCCUUCACUAGCUAUCAUGCUAGAUCCACAACCCAGCCUGAAGGAAAUAGAAUGAGCAACUAUUUAUGGGUUAAAUGGGUCAAACCACCUUAGGGAUAGGUUAAAUUAAAUACCGAUGGCUCCUGUUUACUGCAGGAAGGUGGACUUGGCUAUGUUCUUCGGGAUCAUGAUGGUUCAUGUAAACUAGCUGGGCAGGAAUAUGUUGCCAAUAAAACUCCUGCACAAUGUGAAGCAUUGGCAAUGCAAGCUGGGCUACAAGCUACCAUUAUGGGUGGCUUCUCAACCAUUCAAGUUGAAACCGACUCGCUGCUGCUCCAUGAUAUACUUACCAAAGAUUCAGAUCCACUGUGGAAUAUAUAAAGCACUAUCAGCAACAUCAAAGGCCUCCUGUCAAUGGUAGAUUCCUAAACUGUUCCUUCACUGUUAUUGAGAAUGUAACCAAGCAGCUAAUUGAGCUGCAUCCAAUGCUAGAUCUGGAAAAUCCAGCUCAAAAUGGGUGGAUCCCUACCCACCCGAUCUUGUAGCCCUUUUGUAUAAUGAUCUAAACAGGUCAUUCUGUCGUACAUUGAAGUCUUAAUAGAUUUCCUUUUUGUUUUGCAAAAAAAAAAAAAGUAAA